UACGUAGGGGGCUAGCGUUGUCCGGAAUCAUUGGGCGUAAAGCGCGCGUAGGCGGCCCGGUAAGUCCGCUGUGAAAGUCAAAGGCUCAACCUUUGAAUGUCAGCGGAUACUGCCAGGCUAGAGUCCGGAAGAGGCGAGUGGAACUCCUGGUGUAGCGGUGGAAUGCGCAGAUAUCAGGAAGAACACCGACGGCGAAGGCAGCUCGCUGGGACGGUACUGACGCUGAGGCGCGAAAGCAUGGGUAGCGAACAGG
rnacentral:rRNA from 1 species